UACGGGGGGGGCAAGCGUUUUUCGGAAUUCCUGGGCGUAAAGGGCUCGUAGGCGGCCAACUAAGUCAGACGUGAAAUCCCUCGGCUUAACCGGGGAACUGCAUCUGAUACUGGAUGGCUUGAGAUUGGGAGAGGGAUGCGGAAUUCCAGGUGUAGCGGUGAAAUGCGUAGAUAUCUGGAGGAACACCGGUGGCGAAGGCGGCAUCCUGGACCAACACUGACGCUGAGGAGCGAAAGCCAGGGGAGCAAACGGG
rnacentral:rRNA from 1 species